rnacentral:sRNA from 1 species
AUUCGCGCUGCUCGAGGCGGGUGACGGGCAGCACCUUGGAAUAAUUACCCGAGGUGAAGAUUUCGUCGGCCCCCUCGAAAUCGGCCAUGG